CCUGGUGACCUUACCGGCAGGGAAACGCCUGAUCCCAUUCCGAACUCAGAAGCUAAGACUGUCGGGCCGAUGGUAGUCCUUCGGGGCGAGAGUAGGUUAUUGCCAGGA
rnacentral:rRNA from 2 species